rnacentral:lncRNA from 1 species
UCAGCCAUUUUCGCUCCUUAAUUUCCCCACGAAUCUCAAAUUGCAUUUAUUGAUUCUCUAAAGUUGACCCAUUUCACCCAUUUCGAUUUAUUCAUUCUGCUCUUUUGUUUUCUACUUCCCUUUCCCCGCAAUUCUGACUUCUCCUCUUGCCGUCGCCCUCUUCCUUCUUGUCGUCGCCCUCCGGCUGGUUCUUGUCGUCGCCACCAUCCUCUUUUCGCGCCAUUACAGUCCCUCUGUGUCUCUCUCGAGUGCAAGGUAUGUUUUCCUAAAUCCAAUUUUCCCCCAAAUGUAACCUAAUAAUCUAUGUUUCUACAAUUUCACUCUAUUUUUCCCCAAAUAUUAGUUGUUGUGUAUUACAAAUUUAUAGUUUACAAGUUUUUAUGAAAAUUUUAAUGUGACAUGAGAUACCCAAUUGCAGUGUAUUACUUCAUUCUUUCUGUUUGGUGCUGAACUGGGAUUUUCAUGGCUUAGUGACAUACAUCCAACUUGUGUUGAUAAAUUAUUGUGUUGAAGAAUUUAGUUAUUUCUUGAAUCAAAGUUCAGGUAUGCUCUGAUUUUACAUUAAUUUAGAAAUUUUCAGAGGGUAUAUGCGCUGACUUGCUUGGUAUAAUGGGUAUUAAUUAAUUUGUUUUUAGGUAUGUUCAAUCUCUGUCCUGUGAAUAUUUUAGUUAUAUGGCCAUAUCUAUCUUUGUGAAGAGUUAGAGAAAGAGAAAAAAAUAUUUAAUUUGGCUGUGGUGUUUAUUGAAAAAUAGAGUUAGCUGUAUAUUUGGUGGACAGUCAAUUGUAAAAGAUAUAUAUAAUAUGUUUUCAUAACUAAAGGAAUAUCUCGUUUUGUGUAAUAUUUGUG